rnacentral:rRNA from 1 species
UACGAAGGGGGCUAGCGUUGCUCGGAAUCACUGGGCGUAAAGGGUGCGUAGGUGGCGGGGUAAGUCUGGUGUGAAAUCCUGGGGCUCAACCCCGGAACUGCACUGGAUACUGCUUUGCUAGAGUACUGGAGAGGGAACUGGAAUUUACGGUGUAGCAGUGAAAUGCGUAGAUAUCGUAAGGAAGACCAGUGGCGAAGGCGAGUUCCUGGACAGUUACUGACACUGAGGCACGAAGGCCAGGGGAGCAAACGGG